rnacentral:snRNA from 1 species
AUAUUUACCUGGCAGGGGAGAUACCAUGAUCAC